rnacentral:lncRNA from 1 species
AUACCCACAAACUUCCAUAAAUCAUUUAUUAUUAUUGUUAUUAUUAUUUUUUUAUUUAUUAUUUUAUUAUUAUUAUUUUAUUAUUAUUAUUUUUUGUUUUUUUUAUUAUUUUUAUUUAUUUAUUUAUUUAGUUCGAUUGAUCUAUGAAGUGAAAAUCAAAUUCUAAAUGCAUACUAGCUAAGAUUUUCAAAAACUUUUUAUUAUUAUUAUUAUUAUUGUUAAAAUCUAAUUUAAGAUACAUAAAUGAUAAGAGUUUCAAAGCACACACGGAUUUUAUUUACUAAGUCAGCUCAAAUUCUAGGUUAGUAUGCAAUCUAAGUUAAAGUCAUUAAGCUUCCAUUUAGGGAGUUGUAAGACUCAUUUAUACUAGAGUGCUCGGUGAAAUCUGGACCGUACACAAGCUAAGGGUUUCGAUCUCCAAAAUAUUGCAAAGACUAAUAGUUUCCAAUGAUUGGUCGAAGGAACCUA